ACUCCGGUUGAUCCUGCCGGACCCGACUGCUAUCGGGGUGAGACUAAGCCAUGCGAGUCAGCACCCUGGGCUAUGGCAGGGUGCGGCGCACGGCUCAGUAAUACACGGUCAACCUACCCUUAGGACGCGGAUAACCCCGGGAAACUGGGGAUAAUCCGCGAUAGGGGAGGAGGCCUGGAAUGGUUCCUCCCCGAAAGGGCUCUGGGGCCAUGCUCUCCAGAGCCGCCUAAGGAUGGGACCGUGGCCGAUCAGGUUGUUGGUGGGGUAACGGCCCACCAAGCCUAAGACCGGUACGGGCCGUGAGAGCGGGAGCCCGGAGAUGGACCCUGAGACAAGGGUCCAGGCCCUACGGGGCGCAGCAGGCGCGAAAACUCCGCUAUGCGCGUAAGCGCGACGGGGUCACCCCGAGUGCCACCCGCUGAGGGUGGCUUUUCCCCAGUCUAAACAGCUGGGGGAAUAAGGGGAGGGCAAGCCUGGUGUCAGCCGCCGCGGUAAUACCAGCUCCCCGAGUGGUCGGGACGAUUAUUGGGCCUAAAGCGUCCGUAGCCGGCCUGGUAAGUCCCCUGUUAAAUCCAGCGAUCCAAUCGCUGGGCUGCAGGGGAUACUGCCAGGCUAGGGGGCGGGAGAGGCUGGCGGUAUUCCCGGGGGAGGGGUGAAAUCCCGAGAUCCCGGGAGGACCACCGGUGGCGAAGGCGGCCAGCUAGAACGCGCCCGACGGUGAGGGACGAAAGCCGGGGGAGCGAACCGGAUUAGAUACCCGGGUAGUCCCGGCUGUAAACGAUGCGGGCUAGGUGCAGCUACGAGCUGACCCGGUGCCGAAUGGAAGCAAAUAAGCCCGCCGCCUGGGGAGUACGGCCGCAAGGCUGAAACUUAAAGGAAUUGGCGGGGGAGCACCACAAGGGGUGGAUGCUGCGGUUUAAUUGGAGUCAACGCCGGGAACCUUACCAGGGGAGACAGCAGGAUGAAGGCCAGAUUGAAGGUCUUGCCGGACGAGCUGAGAGGAGGUGCAUGGCCGUCGCCAGCUCGUGCCGUGAGGUGUCCUGUUAAGUCAGGCAACGAGCGAGACCCCCGCCCCUAGUUGCUACCGGAACCCGGGAGGGUUCCGGGCACUCUAGGGGGACUGCCGCCGAUAAGGCGGAGGAAGGAGGGGGCUACGGCAGGUCAGUAUGCCCCGAAUCCCCUGGGCCACACGCGGCAUACAAUGGCGGGGACAAUGGGUUGCGACCCCGAAAGGGGGAGCUAAUCCCCAAACCCCGCCUCAGUUGGGAUCGAGGGCUGCAACCCGCCCUCGUGAACCCGGAAUCCCUAGUAAUCGCGGGUCAUCAUCCCGCGGUGAAUACGUCCCUGCUCCUUGCACACACCGCCCGUCGCUCCCCCCAAGUCGGGUCUGGGUGAGGCGUGGUCCCUCGUGUCCACGUCGAACCUAGGCCCGGCGAGGGAGGAGAAGUCGUAACAAGGUGGCCGUACGGGAACGUGCGGCCGGAUCACCUCCU
rfam:Candidatus Bathyarchaeota archaeon B24 scaffold119, whole genome shotgun sequence.